CCUACGGGCGGCAGCAGUGAGGAAUAUUGGUCAAUGGACGAGAGUCUGAACCAGCCAAGUAGCGUGAAGGAUGACUGCCCUAUGGGUUGUAAACUUCUUUUAUAUGGGAAUAAAACGUUCCACGUGUGGGAUUUUGUAUGUACCAUAUGAAUAACGAUCGGCUAACUCCGUGCCAGCAGCCGCGGUAAUACGGAGGAUCCGAGCGUUAUCCGGAUUUAUUGGGUUUAAAGGGAGCGUAGGUGGAUUGUUAAGUCAGUUGUGAAAGUUUGCGGCUCAACCGUAAAAUUGCAGUUGAAACUGGCAGUCUUGAGUACAGUAGAGGUGGGCGGAAUUCGUGGUGUAGCGGUGAAAUGCUUAGAUAUCACGAAGAACUCCGAUUGCGAAGGCAGUUCACUGGACUGCAACUGACACUGAGGCUCGAAAGUGUGGGUAUCAAACAGGAUUAGAUACCCCGGUAGUC
rnacentral:rRNA from 1 species